AAUGUUACUUCCUGUCCCACUGGGAGUCAGGAAAUAGAGAUAAAUAGAGAGGAUCUGGAACCAGAUAAAGACCAUGGCUGAUGUUGUGUCUUGCCCUUCUUGCCACUAGCCAUCAAAAUUGAAUUGGAUUGGUUCAUCCAAGAAAGCCAUCUGGCAAAAAAAAGAAAGGCAGGAGAUGCAAUUUAACUGCCCAAGAAUUUGCUGAAGUGGCAUCAAAAAUGCACCAAACAUUAAUCUCAUUUUCAUUAGAAAAGGAAGAAAGGCUACUGAGGACAACUUGAUAACAGAUGGCAAAAUUCAUCUGUUCUUCUAGCGUAUUUUCUGUCCAGUGAGCCCAAUGCUGUUGAGUGCCUUUUCCCAUUAAUGGAGAUAGACUUCUCUUCUUUGCAAUAAAUAGGCCAUAUUGUCACUAGUUCCUGCUCUGGGGCUACUACAAGCAUAGCAAAAGUAAUGGAACUCUGAUGGAACAAAGAAGAUAAGAAUUGGAUGAAGGGACCACAUGUGCUUCCUCUCAAUAAUUUCCAUGAUUGUAGUUUGUUUUCCAUGCUUACCAUACAAGAAUUACCAUACAAGAAUCAUCAUGCUGAUGAUACCAAUGCGUAUAUAUCGUAGAACAAUAUAUGGCUAUAACUCU